ensembl:lncRNA
AUUGGCUAGUCAUUGUUUUGUUAGCUACAUUAGCCUCUUUAGCAAACCAGCUCGAAAACACAACUUGACUUUGUAUUGCACACACAGCUAGCCGUGCAAUGCAUACAUUGACUUCACAGGUGGGCGUGUCCACCUAGUACACAUCUAGGUGGACACGCCCACCUGUGAGGUCAUAAGGGACAGAUUUCCAGAACGGCUUGAAAAACGGCUAAUCAACCCACACGUGUUGGCAUGUCAUGGGACCUUUAUGAGAAUAGCGAUUCCAGCAGCUGUUGGAUUUUAGUGUUGAUGUUUUGCAGUUUGCAGAUGAUUAUCUCCGCUACGGAGACAUCAGUGAUGUCGAGACAUUUCCACGGGCUGUUCAUCAGGCACGGUUGCAUGUUGCUACUGAGCUGCUUCAGUGUAAGGUCGGUGGCAUCAAACGCUGCACGAGAGCAGUGCCAUCAAAAUAGUUUCGUAGUCAAAAUCCAUACAAAUUCCCUCCCCUCAGUCACAUAAGGUGAUCAGUCUAUCAGUCAGGGGAAUGCAGAGGACUUCUGUGUGGUGUGCUCCUUUGCCGAAGAAAAUGCAGAUGAGAGCAUGAUUGAAAAGGUGCAGUGUGGAUUGUGAAGUCGGUGGCCAAAUUUUGAGUGUGCCCAAUAUGCCCAUGAAAAUAAGGCUGUAUAUAUUUGCAAGAAAUGCCUUAAAAUAAAAUAAAGAUUUGAGAUCUUUUGGCGGUUUUUAUUAUUGGAUCUUUU